GCAGCUACCAGAGUGGAGAUAAGCGGCCUUAUCAAUUAGCGGGAGUCCUGCGUUGCAGUUUGGACGGCAUGCUUGAUUCACCAUGCUCGGACGGUUUACGUAGCGGCUCAUGGGAAGAUCAGUGCUUCAAGUGCAUGUUCGGGCCCCAGUAUGGUUGGUGCUUGAGAUAGGCAGGAGUAGGACCUGUGCGACAGGUAGGCUUGGACUGUCGCUGCCCGUGUUGCUCGCCAGGGCUCGCUGUCACGGCACGCCGCACCUUUUCGUGUGCCCAGGCCGCCUCCGCUUCCCGAAAUUGCG
rnacentral:lncRNA from 1 species